UGACGGUACCUGAGGAAUCAGCAUCGGCUAACUCCGUGCCAGCAGCCGCGGUAAGACGGAGGAUGCAAGCGUUAUCCGGAAUGAUUGGGCGUAAAGCGUCCGCAGGUGGCAGUUCAAGUCUGCUGUCAAAGACCGGGGCUCAACCUCGGAAAGGCAGUGGAAACUGAACAGCUAGAGUAUGGUAGGGGCAAAGGGAAUUCCUGGUGUAGCGGUGAAAUGCGUAGAGAUC
rnacentral:rRNA from 1 species